rnacentral:rRNA from 1 species
GGGAGGCAGCAGUGAGGAAUAUUGGUCAAUGGACGAGAGUCUGAACCAGCCAAGUAGCGUGAAGGAUGAAGGUCCUACGGAUUGUAAACUUCUUUUAUAAGGGAAUAAAACCUUCCACGUGUGGGAGCUUGUAUGUACCUUAUGAAUAAGCAUCGGCUAACUCCGUGCCAGCAGCCGCGGUAAUACGGAGGAUGCGAGCGUUAUCCGGAUUUAUUGGGU